rnacentral:rRNA from 1 species
AUUGAACGCUGGCGGCAGGCCUAACACAUGCAAGUCGAGCGGAUGAAGGGAGCUUGCUCCUGGAUUCAGCGGCGGACGGGUGAGUAAUGCCUAGGAAUCUGCCUGGUCGUGGGGGAUAACGUCCGGAAACGGGCGCUAAUACCGCAUACGUCCUGAGGGAGAAAGUGGGGGAUCUUCGGACCUCACGCUAUCAGAUGAGCCUAGGUCGGAUUAGCUAGUUUGUGGGGUAAAGGCCUACCAAGGCGACGAUCCGUAACUGGUCUGAGAGGAUGAUCAGUCACCCUGGACCUGAGACACGGUCCAGACUCCUACGGGAGGCAGCAGUGGGGAAUAUUGGACAAUGGGCGAAAGCCUGAUCCAGCCAUGCCGCGUGUGUGAAGAAGGUCUUCGGAUUGUAAAGCACUUUAAGUUGGGAGGAAGGGCAGUAAGUUAAUACCUUGCUGGUUUGACGUUACCAACAGAAUAAGCACCGGCUAACUUCGUG